rnacentral:lncRNA from 1 species
UCCGACGAGGACAGGCGGCGGCUUCCGGCUGCUACAGGACACCAAAUGAGGAACGGCUCGCGUCAAAAGAUGCGCGAGGACGAGAGGGUUAAGAAAUGGAAGAGCUCGGGCUUCAUGGCUCACUGGGGUGGCGGCCGUGUCUCCAAAACGGCGACGUCGACGGAAAACUUCGGCGAGGAAUUCACUGGCGUGGUCACGAGUGGAGUGAGGGGGGUGUGGGGGAAAAGAGAGAGUGUGGGGUGCUCUUUAUAGUGACGCGGGAGGGGUGGUAAAUGGGGCGCUCUAAAUCGUGUAUUGAAGAGAGGUGUAAAGACGGCGCGCGCUGGAUUCGCGGCCGGAGCUUGAAGACAACCUGACAGGUGGGUCCCACCUGUCAGUGUCUGCGGGGGCAGCGCGGCUGGGCUGGGCUGCAAGCUGGGCUGGUUCGCGGGCCGCGCUGGGCCGGGUCGACGCGCGUGCGGGGGUGCUGGCUUUUCCCGUUCGGUCGGUCCGGCCUGGUUUCCUCUUUUUUUUGUUCAUUUUCUUUUCUCUUUUUCUUUUUCUGUUUUUCCCUUCUAUCUUUUGAUUUUGAACUCCAAAUGACUCCAAAUAAAUUCCAGAAAAUUUGUAAAAUCAUAUCCCUCAAUGCUAAAGCAUCUGGGACUUGAUUCCUUCCAACAGCAAAUUAUUAAAAAUAGUUUUGCUUAAAAUAGUUGCCCCUGGUGCAAUAUUAUUUAGAAAUAAAUAGUUUUUCAACUCCAAAACAAUUUCCAGAAAAUAUGAGGUAGCUUAUCUUGAUGCAAUAAACACCUUUAAUAUUGACCAAACCUCAUGGGUUGAGAAAUUCCAAAAAGUUAACAAAGAAGGUAAAAAGGCAAAAGCUUGAUGAAAAAUGAUUUUAAAAUUUGAACUCUUGGUUUUAAAUGCGCAAAGUGCUUAUGAGUGCAAAUCGUGAUGCAAAGUUUGGGAAAAAUUGGGAUGUU